rnacentral:rRNA from 1 species
AAGCAGAUCAAGUUAAAGAAAAAUUGGUAUAAAAUAGGGUUAGGAUUAAGUUGAUUAAAGAAAAGAAGAUUAGAUCUAAAGGUGUAAUUUGUAGAUUUAAAAUAUUUUUAUUUUUCUUUGUUGUCUGAUGCCUUUAAAUUUUAGAUAUAAACCAGGAUUAGAUACCCUGUUAUACUAAACUGUAAAAAUUAAUUAAGAUGAAUUUAUUUUGAUUUACCAGGGUAGUACGAGUAGAGAAGAUUACUUAAAACUUAAAAGACUUGGCGGUGCCUUAUUUCUUUCUAGGGGAAUCUGUUUUAUAAUCCGAUAAUCCGCGUUUUAGCUCACCUAGUUUUGUAAUAAUGGCUUAAAGAAUUAUGGUUAUUAAGCAGUUAGUAUACCGUCGUUGUAAGGCGGUUUUUAAGAAAUAAUGAAGUGGCCCUGAUUAAAAUAAAAGUAUUUUAAAGAUAUCAGAUCGAGGUGCAGCUUACAGUUAGGUAAAGAUGGAUUACAAUAAAUAUUUUUUUUGGAUUAGUUUUUGUAAGAAGAGCUAUAAAAUUGGACUUAGAAGUAAUAUGUAGUAUAUAAUAAUUAGAAUAUAUCUAUGAAAAUUUGCUCUAAGGUGUGCACAAAUCGCCCGUCGCUCUUGUUUAAAAAUAA